AUCAAAUUUGUCUUAGGUUUAUUUGGAUUGAUCUGUCGCUCUGCUUUAUACGUCUUUGUAUUAUCCAUACACUUCGAAGAAUCUUUUGUCAAUUAAGCUUUUUAUGAACUCAAGAACAUCACAAUUUUAUCUAGUGUCGAAGGCUAAAGUUCUUUAAUCUAGGGUCUAUCAUAACCAUGGAGGUCAGAAUUUUUGUUCGGUUCGUUUAGGUUCGCACUUUGGGACUUUGAUUGAGGUGACAACAGGAGGCGUGGAAGUUGGCAAGAUAUUUCAAGCCCAAGUUGUGAAUUACAAUUGUGUAGACAUUUUGAGAAUGAAUUAAUACAAACUUGUCUAACUAGAGAGAGAAGUUUUAAAAGGUUUUUAAAAGGACUCCCAACAUAAGGUUCAUCUGAGAUUAAAUGAAGUGGGAGGAACAAUAACUACGAAUAAUCAAUAUUCCUGCACAUUAAAUGAUAGGUAAGAAACACAGAACAGAAAAAUCAGAGAAUACUUAACUCAGUUGUAGACUGAAAAUAAUAGAAAACGCUAGUAAUGUUAGUUAACACAGGCCUAGAGUUUGUCAGCAUUGGAGCAAUUAGACAUAAAUGUGAAUGCCAGUGUAACCACAUGCGUUUUUUUUAUUUAAAUAUUAAAAAUUCCCAAAACUUCUGCAUCAUGCAUUUUGCUGAAAGAUGAUGCUUCAUUGAAAAUUAAUUAUUUAAAUAUUUAGUCCUCUAUGAAAAAUAAUUUGUGGUCAAAAAAA